AUGCCUGAAGAUUGUAAUGAAUUCAUGCAACAUGUAAUGCCACUAGCAUGCAGCAGAGGGCAAAAGAGCUUGAGCUUCACUGAAAAGCUUGAUUCCAACACCCCUGCAGCCAGUCUAGCUCUGUCAAUGAAUCCUCUACACAUCUACACCUGCAGCUCUGCUGGAGCCGCCACAAGCCCUGGGGAUGAGGAAACUCAUGGAUGCAGAAUUCUGAGGACAUUGAGAGAAGAGCCAGAUUUCAAGUUGUUUGAACACGGAACAGAGAUAAUUGAAGAAGUACCUCCUCAGAAAAUUCAGCAGCUGACCAUGUCGUUUCCACAUGAUCUGGAUAGAAGCUUAAUUUAUAUGGACGUGUGUGCAUGUUUACACAGUUGCUAAACAUCUUGGAAGAAGAGUGGUUGUCUCUCUGUGCCACAGAAAUUUCUAACCUCCAUGGGAGUAGAGAUUUGAUGACUGGGACACCAAAGGUUCAGUGGGUUGUGACACCACAGGACAGGAAAAUGCAUGACCAGAAGCCUAGGCUGACAAGGGGGAAGUCUAAGAGCUGUUCUGUGAGGUUUUGCAUAGAAAUCAUCAUAACAAUAUGUUGGCUACUUGGAUUGAAAUUUAAGAAAAAGAAAUCAUUAUAACAGAGAGUUUCUUUUUAUUAGUUAAAAUAUUUUAAGAAUGUGCAUUUGUUAAUCAUUUUUUAGUUUUAUCCAUGUUCAACAUGUACAAAGGUUAACAUGUCAAAUGGUUUUAUUUAUUGAAAGAUUUUAUUUAUUUAUUUAUUUAUUUAUUUAUUUAUUUAUUUAUUUAUUAUAAAAAGAGAGCAUGAGCAGGGGGAGGAGCAGAGGGAGAGGGAGAGGGACAAGCAGACUCCUUACUGAGCAUGGAGCUCGCCAUGGGACUUGAUCCCGGCACCUUGGGAUCAUAACCUGAGCUGAAGUCAGAUGCUUAACAAACUGAGCCACCCUUGCCCCUCAAACGGUUUUAUAAGGCUUCAAUUGAAAACCAGCCAUCUUCUACUGUCCCUUCCCAUUCCUGCUUUCUUCUCCACAGAGAUGAUCACUUCUGUUACCUAAAGCUGUUUCUUCUGGAGCAAGUGUGUCUCAUAUUUCUAAAAUAUAAGCUCAUACUACCAUUUUUCAUACUUUCAUUUGCAAAAUGGGUUCCACAACCCCCUAAGUUUGGUGUGAGCAUUAAAAGGAAUUAAUUCAGGGGCAUCUAGAUGGCUUGGUCAGUAGAGUGUGCAACUCUUGAUCCUGGGGUCAUGAGUUCAAACCUCACAUUGGACACAAAGCUUACUUAAAAAUAUAAAAUGAUAAAAAAAGGAAUUAAUUCAUAUAAAGCACCUUUAACAGUGUCUGGCACUAUUGUUAUAUUAACUUUUUGGUUUUAGUUAUUACCUAUUGUCUUCUUACCAUUAUGUUUAGCUCUAUUGUAACACCCCCUUUACACACACACAUACACAUACACAAACAGUUUCUCCUCCUGGCCAGUAUUUUUUAUUAUAAAUUUAAAAAAUUUCAUGUCGUAAAUAUCAUAAAUAAAAAAAAUUAUCAUAAAUUUUUAAGAUCCAUAUUUAGUGUUUACACUAUUAUAACCUCGAGUAUCUAUAGCUGAGCUACAUAGAAUAUUAUGAUUACAUUUUCUUACUGGAGUUAAUCAUUAUCUCUUCUUUUUACUUAUGUACUUGCUUAGUAUAAUUCUGACACUAAUUGUGAUGUGUGUGUUUUUUCCCACACCAGCAAAAAUUCUCUGACACCAGCUAAGUGUCCUGCAAUUCAAUUCAGUUCUGGCACCAUGUGCCUGGAGCUAGUGUCAGAUCCCACAGGUUAAGGGUUUGGUCCCACAAGACUGGCCUCUGUCCCAUUUCAGAUGCAAAAUAGCAAGUCCAGGUUGUCACUUGUGCUUCUAACUCACUGGCUAUAAAUCAGAGUUCAGGUUCCCUCCUUUGAUUUGAUUAAUUUGCUAAAGUGGCUCACAGAACUCAGAGAAACAUUUACCUUACUAGAUUACCAGUUCUUCAUAAGUGGAUAUAACUCAGGAACAGCCAGGUGGGACAGCUGCAUCGGGGGAGGUGUGUUGGGAAAGGGUGAGGAACCUCCACGUCCUGCCUAAGCAGCCACCCUUCCUAAAUAUCCAGGAAGCUUUCCAAACUCCAUCCUUUUGGGUAAUGAUGGAGGCUUUAUUAGCUAGGGAUGAUUGAUUAAAUCACUGGCCUUUGGCUACUGAGUCAACCUCCCAGCCCCUCCCCCCUUUCUGGAGGUCAGGAGGUGGGACUGAAAAUUCUAACCCUCCAAUCACGUGGUUGGUUCCCUGGCAACCAGCCCCCCCAUCCGUAGAUUAUACAGGGGCUUUCCAAAAGUCACCUCAUCAACAUCACAAAAGACAUUUGUGUUACUCUAAUCACUUAGGAAAUUCCAAGGGUCUGGGGAGCUCUGUGCCAGGAACAGGGGCAAAGACCAAAUGUAUAUUUAUUAUAAAUCAUAAUGUCACACUUCAUGUUCUGCAUGCUACUCCUUAAAUCAUUCCCAACCCCUCCACCAGAAAUGUAAAUCUCUUCUCAAUAUGUUCUACAAGUGUAAAAGUUUUGGGGGGAGAUACCCUUUCCAGGGUUCUCUCUUCUGCUGUCUGUGCUGGGAAGUUCUAAAAGUCAAUUGCACAGCUGUGACCUCGGGAUUGCCUUUGACUAUUAGCCCAAAAUUCCUUUUUGUUCUCCUUGACAGUAGAUCCUCUUUUUUUCCCCCCCUUCCCAUGAAAUCAUCUUUUUGCUUUACAUUUUCAUUUUGAGUGAGCACAUCCUUCAGUAGGAUGAAUAGGUUAGGUUAUGAAUGGUUAUGAAUGUCUAGGUUAUGAAUGUCUACAAAUGACUCACUUUCCUACAUGAUUGAUAGCUGGACUAGGUAUAGAAUUCUAAGUGGAAAAUAUUUUCCCCUUAGAAAUGUGAAGACAUUUUUUCUAGCUUCCCCCACAGCACUUGAGAAGUCUGAUAUUUUAUCUUUUGAACGAGGCUUGUUGCUUCCUCUCUGGAUGUGUUUAGUAUCUUCUCUCUGUCCUUGGAAUUCCAAAAUUUUACAAUUAUGUGUCUUGGUGUGGGACUUUUAAAAUUUAUUAUGCAGGUGGGGUACCUGGGUGGCUCAGUCGGUUAAGCAUCUGACUCUUGAUUUCAGCUCAGGGUCGUGAGAUUGAGCCCCAUGUGGGCUCUGUGCUCAGCGGGGCAUCUGCUUGAGGUUCUCUCUCUCUCUCUCUCCCUCUGUCCCUCAUGCUUUCUCUCUCUAAAAUAAAAUAAAUAAAUCAUUUUAAAAAAUCUAUUCUGCAGGGAACACAGCGAGUCUUCUCAACAUGAAAACUCAUGUCCUUUUGAGUAUUUUAAUCCCUCUAUUUUUCUCUUUCUGGAAUUUUUAUUCAAACAUUAUAAAUUUUGGUCUGGUCUCCAAAUUUUCUUCUUUUUUUUCUUAUAUUUCCAUCUCUGAUAUUUUUCUACUUUCUCAAAAUUUAUUUUCCAACCUUCCUAUUAUAUUUGCAUGUCUGCUGUCAUAGUUAAUUUCCAAGGGCUUUUAUAUAACCUCCUGAUAUCUUUCUUUUUGUUUUCCUCUGAACAUAUUAAUGACAGAAUUCUGAGGUUUUCUUCUGCUCCUUGCGUUAUUUCUAUUUCUACCAAGCUCUUCAAAAAUUUAUUAUUUGUUUUGAUCUCAGUGUUCCUAUUAGAAAGUUUUCUCAGGGGGAUCCCUGGGUGGCGCAGCGGUUUGGCACCUGCCUUUGGCCCAGGGCGU
rnacentral:lncRNA from 1 species